UACAGAGGUCUCAAGCGUUGUUCGGAUUUAUUGGGCGUAAAGAGCGUGUAGGCGGCCAGAUAGGUCCGUUGUGAAAACUGGAGGCUUAACCUCCAGCGGUCGAUGGAAACCAUUUGGCUAGAGUCCGGGAGAGGAGAGUGGAAUUCCUGGUGUAGCGGUGAAAUGCGCAGAUAUCAGGAAGAACACCCGUGGCGAAGGCGGCUCUCUGGGACGGUACUGACGCUGAGACGCGAAAGCGUGGGGAGCGAACAGG
rnacentral:rRNA from 1 species